CCUACGUGAGGCAGCAGUGGGGAAUAUUGGGCAAUGGAGGCAACUCUGACCCAGCAACGCCGCGUGAAUGAUGAAGGUCUUCGGAUUGUAAAGUUCUGUGAUGGGGGAUGAACACAAUGACGGUACCCCAAUAGCAAGCCACGGCUAACUACGUGCCAGCAGCCGCGGUAAUACGUAGGUGGCAAGCGUUAUCCGGAAUGACUGGGCGUAAAGGGUGCGUAGGUGGUUUAGUAAGUUGGCGGUGUAAUUCCGGGGCUCAACCUCGGCGCUACCGCCAAAACUAUUAGACUAGAGUGCAGGAGGGGUAAGUGGAAUUCCUAGUGUAGCGGUGGAAUGCGUAGAUAUCACGCAGAACUCCGAUUGCGAAGGCAGCAUACCGGCGCCCAACUGACGCUGAAGCACGAAAGCGUGGGUAUCGAACAGGAUUAGAUACCCCUGUAGUC
rnacentral:rRNA from 1 species